rnacentral:lncRNA from 1 species
AUUUUUCAGUUGCCAAACAACAGCUCUUUAUUAAAUUUACAUUUGUUUCACGUUUGUAGAGCCAGAAUGGCUAGCUCUAGUAAUUUCAAUGCAAAUUCAAACACAAUUACUACAAAUCAAACACCACAAACAAUUUUUUCUUUCAACACUCCAAUCAAUUAGAUUGAUCUAAUUACAUGAUCUUGCGUAAUAUUGUUCUUCCUCCCACAAGAGCAAAUCACCUUUAUGGUUACAUCACUAGAGAGAAAGUAGCUCCAAAUUUAUUCAAAGCUUCAUCAAACUAUGCUGGAGCAGCAUCUGGAUCUAUUGAACAAAUUGAGAAUCUUGAAUACAUUACAUGGAUAUCAUAGGAUCAAAUGCUUCUUGGCUGGUUGCUUAACUUCAUUAGUAAAGAUAUAUUAAAUCUUGUUCUUCCUUUCUGGACUUCUUUCGAUGUCUGGAAGACUUUGGGAAAAAGUUGGGAGUGCAAUCUCAUGUUGGAGUGCAUUACUUCUUCAACUUAGGUAUGAGAUGGAUGUUCUAAGUAGGGGUCGACAUCGUGUCAGUUCGGAUUGGUAUUUGGUACAAACCAAAAAUUUCUGUUCGGAUUGUAUUUAUUUUAAAUAACCAAAAAAAUCGAACAAAAAAGCACCAAACUGUUAUUGAACCAAAAAUAUCGGAUUUGGUUCCAAUUUGGAUUUUCAGAUUUGGACCUUAUUAAAAAAAUUAAAAAUUUGCUAUGAUAAUCUUAUUCUUUGCAGAUUUCAUCAUAUUCUUUCAAUGAUCUUUGUUAUAGUAGAUCAAAAACAAUAAAAGUUUAUAAACCAAAGAACAUUUUUAAAUUAUUAAUUCAAAAUAGAAUCUAGACAUAAUAAACACUAAAAAAAGAAAAUACAUACAAAAUUUUUUUACACCAGUACAACAAUAAAACAAAAUAAGCAAAAAAUCAAAUUUGCAAAAGUUGAAAGGUGGAUGAUGAAUUCAUGAAGCAGCGGUGGACGGGAAGCACAGUUGCAGACAUGACGGUGGAGGCAUGGGCUGGUGGCCUUCGCCCAUGAGGAAUUAUGGUUCCUAGGUUUAAAGUUUUGAGAUUGAGAUUUGUGAGGGACGAGUUUGAUUUUAGGGACUAGUGUUUGUAUUAGAGAAGGGAUUUAUGAGGAUUUUGAUUUUGGCUGCUAGGUAUGAUUUCAUUUGUGAGGGUGUGAGGAUUGAAUUUAGGGCUUACAGGUGGGUGAGAAAAUGAGAAAUGAAGGGUUUGCUUUUAUGCGAAGGGUUUGAGUGUAUAUAUAUAUAUGUUAUGGUGUGUGCAUAA